AAGUGAAGAUUGACAUCCAUUAAGGCCAAUGGUAGCUCAAUCUUCUGUUCUCUGACUCCCAAGCUUCCCAUUCUCUUAGGAGGCUGCAUUUGUGGCGCUAAAAAAAGGGAUGGGCGUGGGAGAUUCCAGGACUUGUGCUCGCUGAAGAUACAACUGUUAGUCCAAGGGGUGACCCUGGAGAUCAUUACCAAAAUUUAAAAAUUUCACCACUGGGCACACAUGUUACCCUUCUCGUGAUGGCAUGGCAAAGCUUGAUUUGCAAGAGUUUCUUUUGGAUUGUCCCCAAUGAUUCCCUUUAAAAAUAGGAGCUCCUUCAAGCUCCUGUAUCAGCAGUGCUUGCACCUCAUAGGUGAUGAUCAUGAGGGGGACAAGGAGCCUCUAGACUUAAGAGACAAGUUGCCAGCAUUCUCCAGAUGGAGUGUUUCCCUCCGCAGCACCCCCUGCUGGUCAGUUUGACAAGCAGGUGAACAGAAGUUCUCAAAUACACAAUAGUAGAUUCUAUCAAUCAAGUUUCAUAAAGAGUUCUGAUUCCCAGAGGACUUAUGGAGCAAGGAUGACUGACACAAACACAAAAAUCAUUCUGCCUGUUGAAUGAAUCAUAAAAUACUGUCUUUGAUCCAGGAGGCUUGUGUCAUCUGCCAGCAUUUAUGAAACUGUG
rnacentral:lncRNA from 1 species